rnacentral:rRNA from 1 species
GGCGUAAGCGCGCGCAGGUGGUUUCUUAAGUCUGAUGUGAAAGCCCACGGCUCAACCGUGGAGGGUCAUUGGAAACUGGGAGACUUGAGUCCUUAAGAGGAAAGUGGAAUUCCAUGUGUAGCGGUGAAAUGCGUAGAGAUAUGGAGGAACACCAGUGGCGAAGGCGACUUUCUGGUCUGUAACUGACACUGAGGCGCGAAAGCGUGGGGAGCAAACAGGAUUAGAUACCCUGGUAGUCCACGCCGUAAACGAUGAGUGCUAAGUGUUAGAGGGUUUCCGCCCUUUAGUGCUGAAGUUAACGCAUUAAGCACUCCGCCUGGGGAGUACGGCCGCAAGGCUGAAACUCAAAGGAAUUGACGGGGGCCCGCACAAGCGGUGGAGCAUGUGGUUUAAUUCUAAGCAACGCGAAGAACCUUACCAGGUCUUGACAUCCUCUGACAACCCUAGAGAUAGGGCUUCUCCUUCGGGAGCAGAGUGACAGGUGGUGCAUGGUUGUCGUCAGCUCGUGUCGUGAGAUGUUGGGUUAAGUCCCGCAACGAGCGCAACCCUUGAUCUUAGUUGCCAUCAUUUAGUUGGGCACUCUAAGGUGACUGCCGGUGACAAACCGGAGGAAGGUGGGGAUGACGUCAAAUCAUCAUGCCCCUUAUGACCUGGGCUACACACGUGCUACAAUGGACGGUACAAAGAGCUGCAAGACCGCGAGGUGGAGCUAAUCUCAUAAAACCGUUCUCAGUUCGGAUUGUAGGCUGCAACUCGCCUACAUGAAGCUGGAAUCGCUAGUAAUCGCGGAUCAGCAUGCCGCGGUGAAUACGUU